AAAAUUAGAGUGUUCAAAGCAGGCAGAUCCAAUUUUCUGCCACCGAAUACAUUAGCAUGGGAUAAUGGAAUAGGACCCUGUCCUCCUAUUUUCAGUUGGUUUUGGCAGCGCGAGGACUAGGGUAAUGAUUAAUAGGGAUAGUUGGGGGCAUUAAUAUUUAAUUGUCAGAGGUGAAAUUCUUGGAUUUAUGAAAGAUUAACUUCUGCGAAAGCAUCUGCCAAGGAUGUUUUCAUUAAUCAAGAACGAAAGUUAGGGGAUCGAAGACGAUCAGAUACCGUCGUAGUCUUAACCAUAAACGAUGCCGACCAGCGAUUAGGAGACGUUGAAUACAAAACACCACCAUCGGCGCGGUCGUCCUUGGCGUCGGUCCUUCACGGGGCCGGCGCGAGGGCGGCUAGCCCGGA
rnacentral:rRNA from 1 species